rnacentral:rRNA from 1 species
GGGGGGGGGUGGGGGGGGGGCGGGGGCGGGCGAGGGGGGCGGAGGGGCGGGGGGGGUGGUGGGGGGGCGCUAGCGGCGGGGGGGUGAGGAGCACGUGGCUAACCGACACAGCCGACUGGGACAGCGGCGGGGAACGGGGGCUGAGAGCGGGUAAGAUAUUGAACCGCAUGGUGCACUAGGGAACGCCGGUUGUUCGGGCACGUAGAGAUGGAUCCGCGCCGCAUUAGCUAGUUGGUAAGGUAACGGCUUACCAAGGCAACGAUGCGUAGCCGACCUGAGAGGGUGAUCGGCCACACUGGAACUGAGACACGGUCCAGACUCCUACGGGAGGCAGCAGUAGGGAAUCUUCCGCAAUGGGCGAAAGCUUGACGGAGCAACGCCGCGUGAGUGAUGAAGGUCUUCGGAUCGUAAAACUCUGUUAUUAGGGAAGAACAAAUGUGUAAGUAACUAUGCACGUCUUGACGGUACCUAAUCAGAAAGCCACGGCUAACUACGUG